GUCACUGACUGAUCAGCUUCUUUAUUGACCAAUCAGGGAACAAUUGGGGAGCAAUGUUUAUAUAACAUUGAGUAUGGAGAUUCUCAGAAUAAGGAGUGUAGCCAGAUCCGGGGCACAGAGAUCAGCAUUUGAAUAAUACAAGGAUAAUCUUUACACCGGGUAUAACAUCAUGCCUACAAAGGAGAAUAUUUAAAUUUUAAAGUAUUAUUUUAUGUGUAUGGAUGUUUUGCCUUCAUGUAUGUGCACCAUGUAUAUGCUGGUACCCCCAGAGGCCAGAAAAGGACACUGGAGCCCCUGGAACUGGAGUUACAGACUUGAGUCACCAUGUAUGUGGUGGGAAUCAAACCUGAGUCCUCCAGAAGAGCAGCCAGUGCUCUUGACUGCUGAGUCCCCAGCCCCUGAAGGAGAAUAUUUUAAAGUGUUUUGUUUUUAGAAUUAAUGUACAAUAAAGCUGACUUCUUUAAAUUUUAACA
rnacentral:lncRNA from 14 species